rnacentral:rRNA from 1 species
GUCGAUCGUCCUUGGAAAGGCACCCCAACCCCAUGUGACCACACUGAUCGCCAGUUAUUUGCUGCAUGCACUAGUAUUUCUGGGGAUGGUAGGAAAGCGUGUUUCUGGUCGGAUAGAUGGCUGAAUGGAAUGGCUCCGAUGGAUAUUGCCCCUACUCUGUACAAGUUGUCUCGUCGAAAGCUUUUGUUUGUACAGGACGGCCUACAUGAUAAUCAAUGGAUGGCUGGGCUGCAUAGGAUCAACGACGCUCUGACUCUAGACUCCCUCCUGAACCUCUGGACGGCCCUACAGCAGGUCCUUCUCACUGACCAGGAGGACGAAAUUUCUUGGAUUCACUCCUUGAAUGGAAGAUACAGCGCCAAAUCCGCUUACAAUAUACAGUUCACCACUCGGAUUGCAAUGCCGCAACUUGAACAGGUUUGGAAAAUCAAGGCCGAGCCUAAGAUCAGAUUCUUCAUUUAG